rnacentral:rRNA from 1 species
GACAGAGGGUGCAAACGUUGUUCGGAAUUACUGGGCGUAAAGCGAGUGUAGGCGGUUUGGAAGUCGGAUGUGAAAGCCCCGGGCUCAACCCGGGAAGUGCACUCGAUACUCCCAGCUAGAGUAUCGGAGAGGUUGGCGGAAUUCUCGGUGUAGAGGUGAAAUUCGUAGAUAUCGAGAGGAACACCGGCGGCGAAGGCGGCCAACUAGACGAAUACUGACGCUGAGACUCGAAAGCGUGGGGAGCAAACAGG